rnacentral:tRNA from 4 species
GCCCCCAUCGUCUAGCGGCCUAGGACGACUGGUUUUCAGCCAGUAAAUCGCCGGUUCGAAUCCGGCUGGGGGUACAA